UCCUGACCGAGCACCACCUUCAGCUCCUCCGGCGCGGGCCUGCGGGCGGAGGGGGUGCGCGCUCAGAGCCGGCCACAGGCUUCCUGCUCCCGAGUCCCUUGCUGGGUUUCAGCUUCCUCCUGGGGCGCUGGGGAAGGGUGAGAGAGAGGUAGGGCAUGGGUUCGGGUGUUGACGGAAUCUGGGCUCGGAAGAGAGAGGAGCAGGAGUCCCGGGCAGGGCGACAGGCGCGCCAGGACUCGCCGGUUCUGCAGGCAGUGCGCCGCGGUCAGCACCCAGCAGGAAGCGAUGAGGUUGCCCGCGCAGAAAUUGUGGCGCCAGUACAACGCGGCGAUGUAGGGGUGCGCCCCAGGCAGAGCCACCAGUCCCCCAACCACUCGGCUCAGCGAGGACAGCCGUUUCCGGAGCCGCUGUCCGCAGCUGACACUCGGCAGGGGAAUGGGCUGCUCCGGCGUCGCACCCAAGGCUGUGGGAGGAGCCCAGGCUCAGCGCUGGGAGACCCACCGAGGGCUGGAAGGCCAAUUCCUGACCCAUCCACUCACCCUGGCUGGCCAGCUGCUUGCAAUGGGCAUCAGGACCCUUACACUGGCACUUGGCCACACCCGCCGGCUCAAGCCUAUGCCAUAUUUCUUUCUCAUGGAAGAACUGGAGAAGCUGAGGCUCAAAGCACUUCUCUGGGGAAAAAUGGGGAGAGGGCAGUGGUCUCAGGAGAGGCCAGGAUCAUGCCGAGUCUGUGGGGAUCCAGAGGCCUCUUCAGUAGGCCCAGGACUGCCCCUGUUUUUCCUGGCAUCCUGUCCCUUGGCUUCACCAUCUCCUUACCUCUCUGGCAGUGCUUCCCAGUGAAAUGUUCUGAACAGAUGCAAUGUGGGCCUUUUAGCAUGUUCAUACAUGUCCCUCCGUUCUGGCAGGGGCUGUGUUUGCUGCAGUGGUCUGAGAGAUGGGCACAGUGGGAGGAAGAGUGGGGAGCCUGAGUCAGAGAGCCUGGGUCAUGGGAGACAAGUCCCUACCCAAACUUGCUUGUCCUGUGACCUUGGCACUCCAAGUUUCCAUGCCUUAGUUUACCCACCUGCAAAAUGAAGCUACUUUCUAGAACUUCUCCCUCUGGAAGAAGGGAAGGGUCUGGACAGGUCUGGAAGGAUCUCAGAAUACUAGUGUGUAAGCACUGAUGAUACCCAGUGGAGUAACUAGUGGGAAGGAGAGGGCCUUGAGCUACCCCAAAGGCUGUGUGUAUCACCUUUCACUUUCUUGGGCUCCAGGCAGUAUGCCCAUUGCUGGUCCUGCUUGAAGUUCGGGCUGGUAGCACACCUAUAGAAAGAGAUGAAGCUUCCCUGCUCUGCCCAGGGGACUGGCCCACCUUUCCCUAUCAGAGCCCCCUUUCUCAGAGUUCCCAGAGUUCCUUGGGCAGAAGGAUGGGCAGAAUCCACCUCCCACAGGCCCCUGCUCCAAUCCCUCUGGGUAGUCUUACCAGGGCCGGGGGCCAGGCCGGCCCUUGUGGAUGCAUGUGUGGUAUAGUUGCCGGUUGUACUGGAAGGGGAAGUAGCAGGGCUCCCCAGUGACAGUGAGAACUGCAGAGAUAACGCACUCCCUGAUGAUGUUUCCCAUACACCCCCCCCUUCCCCGCCCAGGUGCCACCCCUCAGGGCCUGGUUGGAAAACAGACCCUUGAAAAGAUCAUUGUGCCUUCAAGAGGUUCACUUCUAUAGCCAGACAGCUGGUGUGGACUCCUGAUUCCACCACCUACUAAUUGUGUGACCUUGGGCCAAUCUGUAGCCCCCAGGUCUAGAAGAGUGCUUGCCACAAAGUAGCCACCUAAUAAAUAUGUGUUGAAUGUAGAAGUCACUUGGCCACUCUGAGCCUUAGUUUCCUCAUCUGUGAAAUGACAAUAGUAUAGUUGACCCUUAAAAACCUAAGUUUGAACCACACAGGUCCACUUAUGUGUGGGUUUUUUUCGAUAAAUACAGUACUAUAAAUGUA